AACGAACGCUGGCGGCAUGCCUAACACAUGCAAGUCGAACGAGACCUUCGGGUCUAGUGGCGCACGGGUGCGUAACGCGUGGGAACCUGCCCUUAGGUUCGGAAUAACUCCCCGAAAGGGGUGCUAAUACCGGAUAAUGUCUUCGGACCAAAGAUUUAUCGCCUUUGGGUGGGCCCGCGUUGGAUUAGCUAGUUGGUAGGGUAAAAGCCUACAAAGGCGACGAUCCAUAGCUGGUCUGAGAGGAUGAACAGCCACACUGGGACUGAGACACGCCCGGGACCCUUCAGGGAGGAAGCAGGGGGGAUAGUGGAACAAGGGGCGAAUGCAGAAGGCAUUAAGCCCGUGAAGGUGUGUAGAGGUUGAGGGUGGAAAAGCUUUUUAACCGGGGUUGAUUUGACAGGAACCGGGGAAAAAGGCCCGGCUAAAUCCGUG
rnacentral:rRNA from 1 species